GCGCCCCCGCCGCGCGCUCCCUGCCGGUGUCGGCGUCGCGUCCCGCCCGUUCGCAGGCUCUUCUGGCGCGCGGGGGCGCGGGCUCGGUCUUCUCCCGGUGGCUGCGCGCGCCUCUCGUCGCUCCCGGCGUCGAAGCGCCCGAGUUCCUGUCAGGAAAUGAGGCGCCGGGCUUGCUGCGCUCCGAGAGGGGCCCGAGGCAGCGGCCCGGCCCAGCCGCACUCCCCGGCGCGGGGCUCGGCUUUUUGCCCCUCGAUGCUCCCCGGUGGCUUCCUCUGAGGCAUCGUAGCGCUAUGGCCGUUUUUCUGGUAAUUACGCGUGACGGCGCUUCGGUGAGGCCUUAGUUGCCGGCCUUGUGGGAAGGCCGGAUCUCAGUGUGGUCAAGGGAAAUACUCCGCUUUUUUCUUAGAUUGUGUAAAGAUAAGAUUUACUUGAACAACAACAACAACAAAAAAAUGGGGGCAGGCCUGUUAGCUCGGUGGGUUCGAGUGUGGUGCUGAUAACGCAAGAGUUCCAUUUCUGUAUGUGCCAGCCUCCCCUCCCCCCGCCGUCAGUGUGCUUUGAAGAAUAAGGGGACUUCAAAAAGUUCGGGAAAAUAACACAGAGGUCGAGGGUUCGGAUCUCCUUACUGGCCAGCCACCAAAAAAAAAAAAAAAAAAAGUUCUUGGAAAAAUAGAAUGAAAAGAGGAGAGAAAUACAAACUAUUUCUCAACACGAGCUCCAUCAAGUUCAAGACACUGUUGUAAGGGAUGAUACCAGCCAUUUAGUUCCCUCUAGGGAACUGAGCGUCCGGGGAAUUUAACGAUGUCCAUGCAGCUUUUUAGGUUGUUAACUAAAGGAAAAUGGGUCCCCUUUAAAGGUUAGGAAACAAAAAAGAAGUCAGAAAGAGCCAAACAAGAACUGUAAAGUGGAGGCCUAAUGAUCUCCCAUCGAAACUCUUGCAAAAUUGCCCUCGAUUGAUGAGAGGAAUGAGCAGGAGCAUCGUCAUGGUGGAGAAGAACUCUAUGGUGAAGCUUUCCCAAGCAUUUUUCGCCUAGGGCUUUGGCUAACUUACUCAAAACACCACCGUCAUAAUAAGCAGAUGUUAUUGUUCUUUGACUUCCAGAAAGUCAACAAGCAAAAUGCCUUGAGCAUCCCAGAAACCUGUUGCUGUGACCUUUGCUCUUAACCAAAUCCACUUUCUCUUUGACUGGACCACUUCCACCUCUUUGUGCUUUGUCUUCAGGAAUAUACUGGGGGCAAGAUGACAUUAUUUAACAUGACCGCAAAGUUGUUUUCCAGCUAGCCUGGUGCUGCAAACUUGCCACAAGUCAUGUACUAUCCAGACCCUGAGAAGCCAAGGAAGGCAUCAGUAAAGCUGUGCUGAUUCCACUGCUCCAGCAGGACCAUAAGAUAACAUCAAGGAUGGGAACAGAAGCCAGAUGGAGCCAUGGUAGAUGAUUCUUCGAAUUAAAGAUGGAAGCUGACUUUUCAGAAAUGGUUUUUGUUAGGUCCCUGGAACUGAGAGCCUGACUUUUAGAAGGUCCCUGUCCUUCAGUUUCGUUUCUAAAGCUGAAGUUGAUGGUAGUUUAAGUGAUAGCCACGUAUCUCCUCCAGCCAAGUGCACUUCGAAACGACCUGAUUCCACUUGCAAAGACAAAAUCAUGAAGUACUGGUCAGCGAGAAGAAUGGAACAUAUCAACUGGAUAGGCCAGAACAUUUACAGCAUCACUGUCUCCCACAAAUCAACCAAUUUACAAGUAUGAAAAAGUAACGGCAGCCAAGCCGGGCUUCUAGAGCUUGGAAGAGGAGGAGAGACCUGUGGAGUGCAUAAAGAUGGAAGAAGCCAUGAUGAGAGAAAGAAAAAACCACUUGGACCUUAUCGAGCCCUGGCUGUGUCCAGGCUGGAGCUGCUGAGCACAUGGAGCAGGAGCUGGCAAAAGCCAUAGCCGUGCCCUUUGGAUGAAGUUGCUUGGAGGCGGCAGGGGAGAAGUGGGCCUCGGUGGUCCCCAGGCCAGCAAGACCACUAACAGCGUUCCUAUGGACCCACAUAGUAGCGAGAAGCCACAACAACUGAAAAAAAGGAGCCACUCAGAGGCCAGUGAGUCAUCACAAGGGACCAGCACAUGGCCCAUCCCAUGGGAAGUGUUUGGAGUGUGGGGGCUAGGGGAGAUGGGCCCACUGGGGGAAAUACUGGGACACAACACGGACAGCUGAUCUGCCCCCCCUAAUCAGUGCAGGACCACUCAGAGGAGACUGGUCAGGAAUAUAGAACUGCAAGAGGUACAGAAUGCUGAAAAGACUCAGGACCAGACCAGAGUUUCUAUACAACCCAGGUGCACUGGAUCUCAUGAGAGCCGGAAGUACCUAUAAAGUCGAACAUUAAAACCUGAGCUGCACAAAAAGCUUUCCCCAGGGAAUUAGCAGCAAAGCAACAAUUUAGCUCAACCACAGGGUUCAAGUGCUGGUACCCAUGGGAAGUUUCCCCAUUUUAGAAGUAAGUAAAGGACAACAAAUUAGUUCCAGUGCAGAGUUUAAGUGGUGGGAACAGCCAAUAAUUCAGCACAGAACUGGAAGAAAAAACAAAAUACCCACAGACCAGAGACAAAAUUUGAUCAUAACUAGUGAAGGUCUCACAUCACCAAAGAACACCUAUAAAACCUAGCACUGGAAUUCCUCUGGGCUACCAAACCAGGGUGGUGGGGGGCUAAGGGCUUCUUCCGUGCCCCCUGACACCCACAACCAGCCCAACAAUGACCACUUAGCUGCCACAAGAAGCUCCCUGGGCUUCCGAGCUGGAGUGGUUGGGGGGCAAGGGCUUCAGCCACACCCCCCUGACAUCUGCACCCAGCCGAGCAAUGACCAAGACCCCACUGGAAGCACCCUGGUCUCCCCUGCAGGAAUGAGGGGGUGCCACAGGCCUCAACCCUGCCCCUCAUCCUUUCUCCUUCUCCCACCCUAUUUCCUUUCCCUUUCCCCUCUCCCCCCCAACUCCUCCACAACAACAUCA